UCCUCGACUGACGCUCAUGCACGAAAGCGCGGGUAGCGAACAGGAUUAGAUACCCUGGUAGUCCGCGCGGUAAACGAUGAUCACUCGCUGUACGCAUACAUAGAUGCGUGUGGCCAAGCGAAAGCGAUAAGUGAUCCACCUGGGGAGUACGGCGGCAACGCUGAAACUCAAAGGAAUUGACGGGGGCCCGCACAAGCGGAGGAACAUGUGGUUUAAUUCGAUGAUACGCGAGGAACCUUACCCGGGCUCAAACGCACGUUGAAGUUCCAGAAAUGGGAUGGCCAAGCAAUUGGAGAUGUGCGAGGUGCUGCAUGGUUGUCGUCAGCUCGUGCCGUGAGGUGUUGGCUUAAGUGCCAUAACGAGCGCAACCCCUGUCCGUAGUUGCCAUCGGGUAAAGCCGGGGACUCUGCGGAGACUGCCGCCGCAAGGUGCGAGGAAGGCGGGGAUGACGUCAAAUCAGCACGGCCCUUACGUCCGGGGCGACACACGUGUUACAAUGGCCGGUACAGCGGGCAGCCACCCUGCGAAGGGGCGCGAAUCCCGAAAGCCGGUCUUAGUUCGGACUGGAGUCUGGAACCCGACUCCACGAAGCCGGAUUCG
rnacentral:rRNA from 1 species